GGGGAUGUAGCUGAGUGGUAAACUACUUGCCUAGCAUGCAUGAGGCCCUGAGUUCAACACCCAGCACCUCG
rnacentral:tRNA from 1 species